rnacentral:lncRNA from 1 species
CGUGGCCUGAGCUCCUGGGUGGAGGCUGCUGCUGCUGCUCCUCUGUUCCUACGUUCAGAGUUUCAUCCCCAGAUGGAGGCGAUCUGCUCCACCGUCGACAGAGAAGGAUGAAAAUGACCAAUGGUUCCAACAAAAGCUUGACUGUUUUAGUAAUGAUAGUGGGCAAGUCUGGCAACAGAGGUCUUUCAUGACUGAUGAGUUCCACCAGCCUGGAGGCCCCGUGUUUCUAAUUGUUGGAGGUGAAAGCACUGCUGAGAGAGCUUGGCUGUCCAGGAGAGUUCCCUGAUGGAGAAUGCUAAGAAACUGGGGGGCCCUCUGCUUCUUUGUGGAACACAGAUUUUACAGAAAAAGCAGGCCAACCUUGUACGUUUAUGAGUUUUUGUACUCCUUCUUUAAAUGAAAUAACGCUGACUGUUCAUGUUCUUAAACAUAAUCUCACGUUCAAAGUCUAAACUUGAAAAGACAUUUACAGUGUCAGUGUCAAAAUUCUCUCCUAUUAGCACUGAAAGGACUUGAAAUGAAUGAAAUUUAAACUCUGAAAAUAACCCACCACUCAGAGGCAGUAGUGACCAUUUUAUUAAAAACUGUUUGUCAUAGUUAAGUGUAAUGUCAAAGUUUUGACUCACAGCAACACAGGAGCAGGAUAAAGAGUCUAGUUGUUCAGGAUUUUACUCUUCCAUUCUGGUAUUUUUGUGUAUUGUAUAGUGGGAAAAUUUGAUUUUUAAAAGAACUUACUUAUAAUUAAUAUCAUUAAAUAAAAUCAAACAAAACCAAUUAUAAAGGGCUUCUAAAAGUUGUAAAUAUAUCAAACUUUAGUGCACUGUCUUUAAAUCUCAUUUUAACAAGAAAGCAUGCAUUGCUUUUCAUAACCUCAAGAAUGCUAUUAAUGUCAGUAAAAUGG